rnacentral:rRNA from 1 species
GACGAACGCUGGCGGCGUGCUUAACACACGCGAGUCGAACGGUGAAGGGGUCUGCUUUUGUGGGCCCUGGAUGAGUGGCGAACGGGUGAGUAACACGUGAGUAACCUGCCCCCUUCUUCUGGAUAACCGCAUGAAAGUGUGGCUAAUACGGGAUAUUCUGGGUCUGUCGCAUGAUGGGUCUGGGAAAGAUUGCGCCUUUGGGUGUUUUUGGUGGGGGAUGGGCUCGCGGCCUAUCAGCUUGUUGGUGGGGUGAUGGCCUACCAAGGCGGUGACGGGUAGCCGGCCUGAGAGGGUGGACGGUCACACUGGGACUGAGACACGGCCCAGACUCCUACGGGAGGCAGCAGUGGGGAAUAUUGCACAAUGGGCGCAAGCCUGAUGCAGCGACGCCGCGUGAGGGAUGGAGGCCUUCGGGUUGUAAACCUCUUUCGCCAGUGAAGCAGGCCUGCUCCUUGUGGGUGGGUUGACGGUAGCUGGAUAAGAAGCGCCGGCUAACUACGUG